AACGCGAAGAACCUUACCCAGGCUCGAAAUGUAAUAGACGACAUCAGAGAUGAUGUUUUCCGCAAGGACUGUUAUAUAGGUGCUGCAUGGCUGUCGUCAGCUCGUGCCGUGAGGUGUUUGGUUAAGUCCAGCAACGAGCGCAACCCUUAUCAUUAGUUGCCAACGCGUCAAGGCGGGGACUCUAGUGAGACUGCCCGGGUUAACCGGGAGGAAGGUGAGGAUGACGUCAAGUCCGCAUGGCCUUUAUGUCUGGGGCUACACACGUGCUACAAUGGUCGGUACAGAAGGCAGCAAGACCGCAAGGUGGAGCAAAUCCGUAAAGCCGAUCACAGUUCAGAUUGUAGUCUGCAACUCGACUACAUGAAGUUGGAAUUGCUAGUAAUGACGUGUCAGCAACAACGUCGUGAAUACGUUCCCGGGCCUUGUA
rnacentral:rRNA from 1 species